UACGAAGGGGGCUAGCGUUGCUCGGAAUCACUGGGCGUAAAGCGCACGUAGGCGGGUCCUUAAGUCAGGGGUGAAAUCCUGGAGCUCAACUCCAGAACUGCCUUUGAUACUGACGAUCUCGAGUCCGGGAGAGGUGAGUGGAACUGCGAGUGUAGAGGUGAAAUUCGUAGAUAUUCGCAAGAACACCAGUGGCGAAGGCGGCUCACUGGCCCGGUACUGACGCUGAGGUGCGAAAGCGUGGGGAGCAAACAGG
rnacentral:rRNA from 1 species